rnacentral:tmRNA from 1 species
GGGGCCGAACUAGGAUCGACGUGUGUUGAAAAGCGUUGUUUUCACCCGGGCUGAGUAACCCGUUCAAGGCUCAAAACUCACAAGUGCCAACGACAACGAAGCACUUGCUCUCGCGGCGUAAUUCUAGGGGCUAACGCCCUGAAGUUACUAAGUUAGAGCACGGUUCGGACCGAACCGGGUAACAGAAUCGGAAACCGGGGGCUGGGGGCGAGCCUAGCAACAGAAUCGCCCUACU